rnacentral:rRNA from 1 species
AUGUCGAUGAACACAAGAACAGUCUGCGCUCCAAACACCCGGAGCAGUGCGACGACUGGAUUACAUGUGAACACAUCAGGACUUUCAGCAGGUUGGUUGGAAACACAUCUCAGAGGUGACAACACUGUUUGUGAUGAGCUGUACUUGUUGUCCAGGGGACCAUCUUUGACUGUAUUGACUUACAAAGGAUACAAGAUAAAUGAGAAUACAUUUUACACGACCGCCCAAGAUCAAAAGAGCACCAACCAAAACAGCGGUGUCCGCUUUGAUGCAGCAACCGAGAGCGGAAAGGACACAUAUUAUGAUUACAUAGUGGACAUAUGGGAACUUGACUACGGACAUGUUUUUAAGGUCCCUUUGUUUAAGUGCAAAUGGGUCAAUCUGUCAGGAGGCGGGGUACAGGUAGACCCACAGUACGGAAUGACAACAGCAGAUCUGAAAAAUCUUGGGUACACUGACGAACCGUUCAUCCUAGCCAAUGAUGUGGCACAAGUUAUCUAUGUGAAGGACAUGUCUACCAAACCGAGACAAAGAAAAGAUAAGGAAGCGAAUACAUCAUAUGAUGAGCCAAAACGCCACAUAGUUCUUUCAGGAAAAAGGGACAUCCUAGGAGUGGAGGGCAAGACAAACAUGUCUGAAGAUUAUCAAAAGUUUCAUGAAAUUCCUCCCUUCAAUGUCAAGGUUGACCUAAGCAUCCUGAUAAAUGAUGAAGAUUAUCCAUCGUUAUGGCGCAAUAAGCAAAUGACACAAGCGAAGAAAAAGUGA